AGCGAACGCUGGCGGCAGGCCUAACACAUGCCAGUCGAACGGAUCCUUCGGGAUUAGUGGCGGACGGGUGAGUAACACGUGGGAACGUGCCCUUUGGUUCGGAACAACUCAGGGAAACUUGAGCUAAUACCGGAUGUGCCCUUCGGGGGAAAGAUUUAUCGCCAUUGGAGCGGCCCGCGUCUGAUUAGCUAGUUGGUGAGGUAGCGGCCCACCAAGGCGACGAUCAGUAGCUGGUCUGAGAGGAUGAUUAGCCACACUGGGACUGAGACACGGCCCAGACCCCUACGGGAGGCAGCAGUGGGGAAUCUUGCGCAAUGGGCGAAAGCCUGACGCAGCCAUGCCGCGUGAAUGAUGAAGGUCUUAGGAUUGUAAAAUUCUUUCAGCGGGGACGAUAAUGACGGUACCCGCAGAAGAAGCUCCGGCUAACUUCGUG
rnacentral:rRNA from 1 species